CAAGCAGACACAAGCAUGCAAACAAACCACAACCAUACACAGAGAGAAAGACAGAGAGAGACCUGCUACUGGUGUUGUUGCUUACGGCAGAAUUACACAUUCAUCCACGUUCUCCAAACGUCAAAUUUCAAAGUGUUUUUGUUUCUCCUGAUGAUCUGUAUCGUUCCAUUUCUCCAAAUGUCAAAUGAGGGUUAAAUGUUGGUACUCAUUCUGAAUGGUUAAGGUAAGGGUAAAGGUUUGGGAUAGGGUUAAAUGUAGGUACUCAUUCUGAAUGGUUAAGGUAAGGGUAAAGGUUUGGGAUAGGGUUAAAUGUAGGUACUCAUUCUGAAUGGUUAAGGUAAGGGUAAAGGUUUGGGAUAGGGUUAAAUGUAGGUACACAUUCUGAAUGGUUAAGGUAAGGGUAAAGGUUUUGGAUAGGGUUAAAUGUAGGUACUCAUUCUGAAUGGUUAAGGUAAGGGUAAAGGUUUGGGAUAGGGUUAAAUGUAGGUACACAUUCUGAAUGGUUAAGGUAAGGGUAAAGGUUUUGGAUAGGGUUAAAUGUAGGUACUCAUUCUGAAUGGUUAAGGUAAGGGUAAAGGUUUGGGAUAGGGUUAAAUGUAGGUACUCAUUCUGAAUGGUUAAGAUAAGGGUAAAUGUUUGGGAUAGGGUUAAAUGUUGGUACUCAUUCUGAAUGGUUAAGAUAAGGGUAAAGGUUUGGGAUAUGGUUAAAUGUAGGUACUCAUUCUGAAUGGUUAAGGUAAGGGUAAAGGUUUGGGAUAUGGUUAAAUGUAGGUACUCAUUCUGAAUGGUUACGGUAAGGGUAAAGGUUUGGGAUAGGGUUAAAUGUAGGUACUCAUUCUGAAUGGUUAAGGUAAGGGUAAAGGUUUGGGAUAGGGUUAAAUGUAGGUACUCAUUCUGAAUGGUUAAGGUAAGGGUAAAGGUUUGGGAUAGGGUUAAAUGUAGGUACACAUUCUGAAUGGUUAAGGUAAGGGUAAAGGUUUUGGAUAGGGUUAAAUGUA